AUACGGAGGGUGCGAGCGUUAUCCGGAAUCACUGGGUUUAAAGGGUACGUAGGCGGUUAAUUAAGUCAGCAGUGAAAGCCUGUCGCUCAACGACGGAUGUGCUGUUGAAACUGGUUAACUUGAAAUGGGUUAGGGUUGGCGGAAUGGGUCAUGUAGCGGUGAAAUGCUUAGAUAUGACUUGGAACACCGAAAGCGAAGGCAGCUGACCGAACCUUGUUUGACGCUGAGGUACGAAAGUGUGGGUAGCGAACAGGAUUAGAUACCCUGGUAGUCCACACCCUAAACUAUGCAGACUGGAUGUUGGGCGGCAAUAGUUCAGCAUCUGAGGGAAACCAUUAAGUCUGCCACCUGGGGAGUACGCCGGCAACGGUGAA
rnacentral:rRNA from 1 species